UUAACACAUGCAAGUCGAACGGAGAAUUUUGGAUUCUUUCAGAAUUCUUAGUGGCGGACGGGUGAGUAACACUUGAGCUACCUGCCUUUGAUAGAGGGAUAGCUUCCGGAAACUGACGGCAAUACCUCAUGAUGUAUAUUUGCCGCAUGACAGAUAUACCAAAUAUUUAUCGUCUCCUACAUGGGCUCGCGUCUGAUUAGCUAUAUGGUGAGGUAACGGCUCACCAUAGCGACGAUCAGAAGACGGUACUGAGAGGUUGAACGGCCACAUUUGGUCUGAGACUCGGCCCAGACUCCUACGGGAGGCAGCAGUGGUGAAUAUUGCACAAUGGGGGAAACCCUGAUGCAGCGAAAAAAAAAAAGGAGGAAGAAGGUUUUCGGAUUUGUAAACUCCUGUCUUAAAGGACGAUAAUGACGGUACUUUAGGAGGAAAAUCCGACUAACUACGUGCCAGCAGCCGCGGUAAUACGUAGGGAGCGAGCGUUGUCCGGAAUUACUGGGUGUAAAGGGAGCGUAGGCGGGACGGCAAGUCAGAUGUGAAAACCAUGGGCUCAACCCAUGGACUGCAUUUGAAACUGUUGUUCUUGAGUGAAGUAGAGGUAAGCGGAAUUCCUGGUGUAGCGGUGAAAUGCGUAGAUAUCAGGAGGAACACCGGUGGCGAAGGCGGCUUACUGGGCUUUAACUGACGCUGAGGCUCGAAAGCGUGGGUAGCAAACAGGAUUAGAUACCCUGGUAGUCCACGCUGUAAACGAUGAUUACUAGGUGUGGGGGGACUGACCCCUUCCGUGCCGCAGCUAACGCAAUAAGUACCCCGCCUGGGGAGUACGUCGGCAACGAUGAAACUCAAAGGAAUUGACGGGGGCCCGCACAAGCGGUGGAGUAUGUGGUUUAAUUCGACGCAACGCGAAGAACCUUACCAAGGCUUGACAUUGAUUGACCGCCUCAGAGAUGAGGCUUUCCCUUCGGGGACAUGAAAACAGGUGGUGCAUGGCUGUCGUCAGCUCGUGUCGUGAGAUGUUGGGUUAAGUCCCGCAACGAGCGCAACCCCUAUCCUAUGUUACCAGCGGGUAAUGCCGGGGACUCAUAGGAGACUGCCAAGGACAACUUGGAGGAAGGCGGGGAUGACGUCAAGUCAUCAUGCCCCUUAUGUCUUGGGCUACACACGUACUACAAUGGUCGGCAACAGAGGGAAGCGAAGCCGCGAGGCAGAGCAAACCCCAGAAACCCGAUCUCAGUUCGGAUCGCAGGCUGCAACCCGCCUGCGUGAAGUCGGAAUCGCUAGUAAUCGCAGGUCAGCAUACUGCGGUGAAUACGUUCCCGGGCCUUGCACUCACCGCCCGUCA
rnacentral:rRNA from 1 species